ACACGAAAGGGUAUUGUUGCAAAA
rnacentral:siRNA from 1 species